GACAGAGGGUGCAAACGUUGUUCGGAAUUACUGGGCGUAAAGCGAGUGUAGGCGGUCUUCUAAGUCGGAUGUGAAAGCCCCGGGCUCAACCCGGGAAGUGCACUCGAUACUGGGAGGCUAGAGUAUCGGAGAGGUUGGUGGAAUUCUCGGUGUAGAGGUGAAAUUCGUAGAUAUCGAGAGGAACACCGGUGGCGAAGGCGGCCAACUGGACGAAUACUGACGCUGAGGAGCGAAAGCGUGGGGAGCGAACAGG
rnacentral:rRNA from 1 species